GGGAACCGGGCGCAUGGUGGGCGGCCUUGACAGGUGUUGCGCCCUGCAGCUCCAGAGUCAGAAGAACCUGCAGAGUGAGGAGAGGGAGGAAAAAGCACAGACAACGGGAGAGAGAAGACAAAAAAGUCAACAGGAAGUAGCGCGAGUUGUUGAGAAAAAGAGAGAAGAGGAUGCUCAGUGCAUCAUGGGAGUUCCCCCAGCCACUAGUGGGGAAGAGGGGGGGGUUCAGGGCUCACCUGAGCCAGCCCUAAUUAUAAGCUUUUUCAAAGGCCGAAGUUUUAAGCCUCAUCUUAAAUGUGGAGCGGGUGCCUGCCUCCCAAACCCCAACUGGGAGCUGGUUCCACAGGAGAGGAGCCUGAUACCUGAAGGCUCUGCCUCUCAUUCUACUCAUGGAAACUCCGGGAACCACAAGUAAGGCUGCAUCUUGAGAGCGAAGCGCUCCAUCGGGUGUAACAGGAUACUAUGAGGUCUUUAAGAUACAGUGGAGCUUGGUCAUCAAGGGCUCUGGUCUAGUUUUUCGGCAUCCUUUUGAGAAAGGGUGUUUCUGAUUUUCACAAUAGUCCUAGUGACGUGGUUUUGUGUGUGAGUCAAAGGAUAUACCCUGCUCAAAAUGACCCCAAGGUUUCUUACAGUAGAACUGGAGGCCAAGGUAAUGCCAUCCAAAGUAACUAUAUGAUUAGAUCAUAUUUUUCUUAGGUGUUUAGGAGCAGGUACAAUAACUUCAGUUUUGUCUGAAUUUAGAGGUAAAAAAAUAUUACAGAUUAUAUACAGAUUAUCAAGGCCUUUAUGUCUAAGACAUUCCUGUAGUUCGAAUACCUGAUUAGUUCCCUCUGGCUUCAUAGCUAAAUUCAGCUUGGUUUCAUCUGUGUAGCCAUGGAAAUUUAUAUGGUGCUUCCUGAUAAUAUUGAACUUCAUGACUAACUUUUGUGUGCAUGGAGGAGUCAUAGUAAACGUGAACAAAUUGGAAUCUAUCCGAAAAAUUUGACUCAGUCCUGCCCAGUGCGGUUCCUUUAGCCCCAAUGACAUGUUCCAGUCUGUGAUAAAAUUUUGUGAUUGAUGGUGUCAAAUUCAGCACAGAGAUCUAGCAGGACAAGUAUAGAGACGAGUCCAUUGUCUGAGGCCAUGAGAAGAUCGUUGGUAACUUUCACCUGCGCUGUUUCCGUGCUAAGAUGUACUCUAAAUCCUAACCGAACAUCCUCAAACACGCCAUUCCUAUCUAAAUAAUCACAUAAUUGGUUUGCAACAGCCAAGCUAUCUGGAUCAAGAGUAGGCUUUUUAAGUUGAGGUUUAAUUACUGCAACCUUAAAAGCCUGCUGAUGUCGAUCUUAAAAAACCUUUUAAUUUUUUUAGUAAAUAUUUAUUCAUCAUGAAAAUUUUAAGCAGAGAGAGAAGGAAUUUGCCAGUCAGGGGCACAAGAUGAGGUCAUGAUUAGAGGUAGACCAAUAAAUCCAGAUCUGCCAAUAUUGGCCAACUACAGAUAUGUCGAUAUCUGUGUACAUGUUGGCAGAUAAAAGGAAAUUGCAUUACAGAAUGACAGAAAUGCCAAAAUAGGUUUGGGGUAGUUUAAAACCAUGUUCAUUACAUAGUUUGUCCAACAGAGAGAACAAGUUGAUUUUUCAACUAUAAAAGAUUCAGUAUGAAUUUUAGUCACAACGAAAAAAAAAAAAAAAAAAUCUGGGGGAUCCAUAUCAAGAUUGUUUGUAUAUGUUAAAAAUUACUAUCAGCUGAUAUUUAGUUAUUAGAGUUUUUUAAACUCCCAAAUAUGGAUAUCAGUAUCAGCCUCAAGAAUCCAGCAUUGGUCAGACUAAAGCCAUAAAACGUAGUCCCACCUUAGUUGAUUCUUUAGUGGUGCAAAAUUGAGCCUUGGUUGAUGAGUACUUUUAGUUGUCAAACAGAGUAAAAUUUGAGGUACUCAGUCAUAGAUUAUGGAUAAAACACUGAAUAUGGUAACUGAAUAGAUUUAAUAGUUCUUUAUACAUUAAUUUUCAAUUAAACAAUCUCUGAUUUAUUCAAAAAAUUUCAUAAUUACCAGUCUCUCCAUGAAUCAACUCAUGAGAAAUUUCCUUAAAAGCUAUUAGUUUUUAAGCUAUGACUUUUAAAUUAUUAACUAAUAUAGAUUUAAUGUAUAAAAUGAGAUAUAUAUAGAGGAAAAAAUAAAGUGCUUUGGGUUCAUAGUGAAAAUCCCCCUAGUUUUUUUUGGUUUGUAGCAUUCCUGCAUAGAGUACGUGCAGACAAUGAAGUAAGUAGUAAUUACGGACACCAUAAUUUAGAAAUAAAUAAAUAAAAGGAGGCUGGGUUAGACUUUAUUCAGCGGGUCAGCUGAGUGUAGCCUCACAUGACUUUUUUCGGUAUAGUUCAUGAAAGAGCUCAGUCAGCAGAGCACGACAAGUACAUCCUCUAAAAAAAACCACAUCCUUCCUUUUCAUUAAGCAAACAAAAAAAACGUGUCUACAUCUCUCUCUCUCUCUCUCUCUCUCUCUCUCUCUCUCUGUCUCUCUGUCUCUCUCGCCCUUUGUCUGUAUCAAACACCUUCAUUGGCACAUCUGGCACACAGACACUUAUUGUAGGUCCUCUCAUACAUGCACGUGCAAACACUCAUGCUGCGGAGUUUCACACAGUAUUUCAGGCCAGCAGUGAGGUGGACCGCCCAGCUCUAACUCUGUGGGUAGAUUUUGUGAUUCUGGCCGUGCGAAAAAAAAGCUUUUGUUUAUAACCUGCAUCAGAACCCCCAUAUGUUCCUGGCAAAGGUUUCUCUGAAGUUCUAAUCGAACAUACUAAUCCUUACGGUCAAGCAACACUAAUAGUGAAACCUCAAGAUAAGCAUGACCAGGUUUUCUACAAGUAAGCUCAGAGUGAUUUAGUUGCUCAGUCAUCUCUCGUCCAGUCAUCAGUGUACUCUGUUUGAGUGUUGCUGCUCGCCGAGAGCCACACAGAACCUCGGUGGCAGCCCCUUCACCAUGCUGCUUCCUUCUGUGAAAACUGAGCUCAUGCAGAGGUGAACAGUGUGGUGAGAGGAGCACAACAUGACAGCUGAGUGGUAGCACCUAACCCUCUUAUUUAGUUUAAAAUGAGAAUCUCUUUUUAUUGCUCACUCCUGUGUGUCAUAAAGUUGCAGAGAAGCUCAUCAUCAUAAUGCCAAUUCUUGGAAUAAUGUUUAUCUCCUCAACAGCUUCCUGUAAGAGCAACAGGGUGUUUUGGAGUUAAAUGAGUAGUAUAUGAUAUUUUACUAAAAUGACCUUGUCAACCAACUACAAGAAGGAGAGAAAGGGACAGAUGUAAGGAAGAGAGGGAGGGAAAGUAUUAGGUGGUUUGGAAAGAUGGUGCCUGCGGAAAAAAGUGGAGGCUGGAGGAUGGCAUGUUUCUAUGAGCAGAGCCAGGUGGUCGCCGCAAAAACAGAGAAAGGAGAUGAGUAGGGCAGAGAGCUUUCAAAGACACUGUCAAAAUGUUAGGCUUUCACAAUGAGUCAUCACUUACAUUUUAUGAAUAAUCCCCUUACACACUUCUGGUCCCCUGUUCAGUCUCAUAUUCAGAGGGUCCCAUGUUACAUCUUGUCUAACCUCCUCGUCCACUGUAAGUACCUUAGCAAGAAAUUUUCAGCUGUAACUUUCGAUCAGACCUUUGUCCUGUCAUGUUGAUUAUUUGUCGAUUUAUACAUUAGUGUUCCUGUAAUCUCACUUGCAGUAGGAUAUAAAGUCUGUAUAGUCUUUGGAUUAGUACAAGCCUGAUUUUCAGUACUACUGUAUGUACGUUACAUAUUUUUCAAAUCUGAAAUGUGUGUAUUUAUUCAUGAAUUACCUGUCUACGAUGACUUGUGUGAAUAUUGUAACGAACUGACGAUGUGCAAAGUUUCACUCGUUCUCUGUUGGCGUUAUAUCUGUACAAAUAAAUAAUUGUUCCCUACCCACCUUUUUGCUCCUCCUCCACCCUCUUUUUUCUUUCUACCACUUGUUCCCUAUUCCUAGAUGCAGCCAAUUUGUUAUAUUGCUUUUACUCUCCUCUGCAGUCUCUCAUUCCUCUCUUCUGAGCUUUCCAUACAGUGCAAUAAGACACAAUAUGCCUGGCCGAUAAAAGCAGCCAAGUUUUGCUGUAACAAGUGCCCACCAGGUAAAUUUAUGGUUCGGCGUCAGGAAGACUCCUGUGAAAUUGUAUGUGACUUUUGCAUGGGGUCCAGAUAUAUCGAUAUCUUCAACGUGGAGAUGAGUUGCAAAAUUUGCCAAGAAUGCAAAAAACCAAACAUGCAGUAUAAAUUCUACUGUAAUGCCACUCAUAACGCUGUGUGCAGAUGUACAGCUGGCUACAGAUGCAGUGACCAACCCUGCACAGAGUGUGUGUCGAUACAGCCCAUCCCUCCAUCCACUACAACCUCCACAACUGACACCCUCCCAACUUUCACUAAACCAAUCAGAGAUACAGCGUGGUUCCUGGUGUUAAAUGCCCUCCUUUGUACAGGAUUGGCAUUCGUUGUCGUAACAAAAAUCAAGCCCUUUCUGCACUGGAUCAGGUCCAAGCACAUCUCUUGUUGUGAGGGAUACUUUUUGCCUGACAAACCAGCACCAGUGCCACCAUGCUCCGAGGAUGAGGAGGUAUCCAAGCCUGUCCAGGAAGUGUGUGGAAAAUGUGACCAACCUAUUGAUGUAUGAGUUAAGGACCAGGCGCGACAGGCGUUGAGCCCGAACUUGGAGGAGCAAGAAUUUGACAGAAGUGAUGGAGCCAAAAGGUUUAACUGAGACACCAGACACUGACCCUGUCCUGGAUGGAAACACCAUCUUACCUUGCUUGAAACAUGUUUCUUCUCCUGGGCGACGGACGCAAAACAGGAUCACAAGGGCUACAAAUCCCACACCAACCACU